rnacentral:rRNA from 1 species
UACGUAGGCAGCGAGCGUUGUUCGGAGUUACUGGGCGUAAAGCGUCCGCAGGUGGCAGUUCAAGUCUGCUGUCAAAGACCGGGGCUUAACUUCGGAAAGGCAGUGGAAACUGAACAGCUAGAGUAUGGUAGGGGCAGAGGGAAUUCCUGGUGUAGCGGUGAAAUGCGUAGAGAUCAGGAAGAACAUCGGUGGCGAAGGCGCUCUGCUGGACCAUAACUGACACUCAGGGACGAAAGCUAGGGGAGCGAAUGGG